CCGCGGUCAAGGGCGCACAGCACCUGCGGGCCGGUUGCCGCCCGCCUACCAGCGGCAGACCCGCGACUCUCGCGACUCUGGGUCGCCAGCUUGCCACUGCCCGCAGGCCUCCUCCAGAGCACGCUCUCCUCUUCACCACUGCAUCUGGAGGACUGAUGGUGCGUCACAAGCCCGGAGUCCUGGGCGGCAGCACUCCGCAGGGGAAGCCAAGGCGUGCAGGCGGCGAGGUAGCCGCCUCGACCCCCGCCGGGGGACGUUAGCAUUGCAAACUCGGGGCUGGACGGAAGCGGACUGCGUGACGGGAAGGCUGGGGUUGCUUUUUGUCUUGUCUUUUUAUAACUCUGAUAGCAAUUCCCACCACCCUCCUAAAGGAAACGCGGGUCACUCCAGUGACCACUGCCCAAGGCCGAUCUUCAGAGGGAGCAGGAGCUGCACGCCCAGGCCCUCGCUCAGCGCCCGCAGGCCACCGACCCAGCGGCCAGCCCGCCGCCCAACAGUCGGGCCGCGCCCCGACCCGAGGACACCUUUGGGAGCAAGCGCUCCGGGCACCAGCCCACCCCUCGGCCAGGGACUAGAAGCCCCACCACACUCCACACACUGCAUCCAGCCCGCUGCCUUUCCAAACACGGCGUGGGCAGGAGUGGGAGGCCAGCCCGAGACCCCGGGCAGAGGCAGGGCCGAUCUCCAGACCACCGUAGUACAAAACCAGCACCCUUCAACCAGUAUCCCCUCGAGGGGUACAGACUCCGCGAGUCCGAGUUGAGGAAACAAAGAGUAGGGAACAAGAGAACUGCUCCCACACACUCCGCGUCAAACACGCCACCACAGGUAGCGCGGAAAACAGCGCGAGCCGGAGGGCUUCGUGCGCAUGCGCGCGGGGCCACGGCCGGAGCAUUCCGGAGAGCUAUCCGCCCCCGGUCUCCCGUCAGAGGCCAAAAAGUCGUCCCAACACGCAUGCGCAAGGACGGAAUGUUGGGGGAGGGGAGACCUGUUCCCUUCAUUGUGAGAUCGGCUCCCGCCAGCGAGCGCGCGCGCACGUCCCACUCUCACACUUGGGCGUGCUCCGUGCUUUCCUCCAGACCUGUCGCGCAUGCGCAGGGACGGAGGCAGCGGCUGCAGCGCCUGCGGCUUUUUGUUGGUUUCCCAGAGAAGUUUCUGGAAAGACGGAACCUCGGGGAAAGCGGAGGGAUGGGAAACAAGCGUUUUCUGGAAAAAAGCGAAAAAGCACACCGCCACCGCCCUUCUUCCACCGGUCCAGCCACGGCCAAAGCAGAACCCAAGCCUCCCGAGACACCCACAGCAGGGGAAAAAGCGCGGGGACGGCGGCUGCGAUUCUCCCCCUGCCCGCGCGGACAGCUAGCGCGCUAGGGACGCUUUCGAGGCGGAAGGAAGUCGGGCCUGCGGGGCUGCCUUGGAGCGGCCCUUGCGUUAGGGCUCAGCGGGCAGUGGAGUCCUGACUUUGGAGCUGAGCCCCGCUGUCCUUAACUGCCCCGCCUCCGCGGCUCUGACUGCCCCUUGCCCCUGAUUCACUUGGGGGAGCUGCGGGUGUGCACACGCUGGGAAAGGGGCCCGGGCGAUGCCGCUCUCCAGAACGCAGGCCAGACCUGCGGACGCGGCGUGGGGAGGGCGGGCGUGCCCGUGGCCAGGGCUCCCAUGGCAGCGUUGGCGCGGGGAGGGGUCGGCACACCCGCCUUCGGCCCGGCCGGCUGCCAUUUUGUGGUACGGCCGCCAUUUCGCGCGGCCCGCGCAGGGGCGGGGCCGGGCGGCCCCUUUGUUCUUCCCGCCCGGUCGCAACGCCUAGGAGGCGGGCUGCGUGUGCGCGCCCCGAGCGCCUGGAACGUAGGAUGUGCGCCCCACCCGUGCAGGCUGGAAGGGACACGUUCUGCGCGGGGAGGCUUAGCACGCAACCGUGGGAAGGCUCCCCGGAGCUCGCGCCAAUGGCGCGCUGCGCCUAGCCGACCGCAGCGCGCGGCCGCCGCGACACCUGACGGAGGGGCUCACCCCGUGUAACCGGGAGGUUGCCCUCUGGGAAGAAAGAGCAGGCGCGGGGCGGUGUCCGGGGGCGCGGCGGGCGGGGCGCCGCUCUGGCCUCUGAUUGGCCGGCCGGGCUCGCGCUGCCCCGCUGCGGGAGGGGGCGCUCGGCGCGCAGCGCGUGUCGGGGCCGCGGCGGGACAGUCCUGAGCCCCGCGAUUGUGUGGACGCCGGCGGGCUUGAUACCCUCCAUGCUGCGCCAGCACCCUUUAAAAUCCUGAAAGAGCUAUUGUCUCUCGUUUCAGGGGAAAUAUUUAAAUGUGGGUCCUGGUGCUUUUAGUGUUAACGUGUGGCUCCAAUCAACAAAGCCAGGAAAUUCUAGAGCAGGCUGCUAAAUUUGUCUUCCAGCCUUGCUUUUGUGCGAGGGUUUUUGUUGUUGAAUGACAGUUUUGUUUUUCUUCACAAGAGGCUGAGUUCAUGAAGGAGCCAGUCCUUCCUGGCUCAAAGCUAUGGGUGUCUCAGCUACAGGAGGCUUUGGGUUUUUGUUAUUUUUUUCCCUCCUUACUCUGUAUAAUUACAGGGAUUGGUUAUCUGUUUCAGUAAUAGGAGGGUAAAGCUCAUAAUGACAGGAUGAAAAGGUCAAAAACGUUGUUGCUGAGGGAACCAGUCAGGAUUUGAUGUCUUCCAGAUGGAAAAAAUAUCUCAGGGCUUUUAGAUUCCAGAUUCUGUUCCAUUGUGAGUUGGAGCAUUGCAUAGAGCUUUAAAUUUUGUGCCAUAUCUUAAGAGUCUAAAUAUUUUUAAAUCCUUGCUUUUUGCAUUGAUUUCUAAAAAACAUGUUAGGUGUUUAGUGCUAUUUUGUUUUUUCUGUACAUCCAAAGUGAAAGUACAUUAAAAUAUUAGUUUUAACGGGAAAUAAUGUAGGCAGAAUAAUAAGCUGGAAGUAGAAGAUCAAAAAACAAUUGCCCAGUACUUCAUAUAGACCCAAAGGUUCUGUUUAAGCAAUUCUAAUUCCUACAGUUUGUUUAUAUUUAUGAAACAUGUAUUUGCCAUAUCUUUGACCAUUAUUCAACACAACCAGGUGUGAUGACAUAGCUAGGGAGGCUGAGGCAGGAGGAUGGAGUUCAAGACCAGCUUGGGCAACUUAUGGAGACCCUGUUUCAAAAUAAAUAAAGGGCUGGGGAUGUAGCUCAGUGAUAAAGUGCCCCUGGGUUCAAUCUCCCAGCACCCCCCCCAAAAAAAUGUUUUUUAACACAAAGUGCUGAUUUGUAUUUUCUUAGAGUAGUUGGUAUUUUCAUUGUUGACGUUUUCCUAUGACCUGUGGCAAAUGUUUGCACAACAAAUAGUUGAACAAAAGUCCAGGGAUAACCUUCUCUCCUAUCAUAGUAUUGGCCUUAAAACAUUUUUCAGCUUUUAAGCCAGAAAGCCUGAACAUUGCUGAACAGGUGAACUUUGUGCAGAGAGCUGUGUUCAAAUAAAUAGAUUUUGAAUCACCACAAUCUCAUGAUCUGCCCCAGGGGUGAAAAGGCCUUUGUAUAUGUAGUCCUAGAUCUCAUUUGAGUUUAAUCCAGCCAGACAGAACUAGUGAAUUCCAGAAUAGCCAAUUCAAUUCGUUGUCCCUUUAAUAUUUGUUUUUUGUGUUCUAAACUGAGGUGUCUGAAUUAAUUUGAACCCCAUUUUGUGAGUAGGUAAUCUUUGGUUCUACCAAGUUCCCUGAGAGGACCAGUGAAAAAUAGAAAUGGUAUUAGCUAGGGCCCCUUUGGCUCAUGUCUUUGGAUUUGCUUAUUUUUUUGCAUUUGGUGAAAUUUGUGUGCUUUUCUUCUGAACAAUAGAAACACUAAGCUUCUCUGUCCAUUGUUCCAGGAAAGUACAGCCUUUCAUGCCAAAUUUUGACGUAAGUUAAAACAAUAACAAUAAUAAUAACCUUUUCCUGGUAAAGAUAAAUGAGCUCUUUUAGAGACUUUAGUAAUAUGGGAAGUCCUUCAAAAUAUUUUUGGCAGCACUUAGCACUCCCACAUACUGUAAUAGGUUUUUUCCCCUUUGAGGCAAAAUGUUUGGAUAAUUGGUUGUAAAAUGCUUCCCUACGCUUCAGAAGUAUUGAAUCUGAAGGAACAAAAUCUUGCUGCCAACAGUUUGCUUCUUAGAAAAAAAAAAGAAACAUCUAUAAAAGUAAAACAAAACAAAACAAAAAAAACUCCUAAAACAUCCAACAUUUGUUUGUCCUGUUGGAGUGGAAAAGGUCAUUCCUAAAAUAAAAUUCUGUUCUGACAACUCUGCAGAUUAUAUGGAAUCUAUAGAUUGAUCAUUCUGGCAUCAUGAUUUAAUGGCCUACUUAACUACUAUAAAGUCAGGAUUUUAAUUCAGUUAUCCUUAUAGUAAGCAUCAAUCAAGUACUAGAUGCAACUCCUGAUGCUUAGAAUAUAUCACUGACUAAAAACAAGACAAAAAUCUUUGUUGUUAUGGAGCUUGUUUUGAUGGAGGGUGGAAGGAGGCAGUGGCAGAAAAAUAUAAUAAGAAAAUUUAAAAAUAGGAGUGGUAAAUGGUAGAAAAAUACAGAGGGGAAGUAUAGGCUGAGGAUGGAGCUCACUGGGAGAGUGCUUGCCUAGCAAGACCCUGGGAUUUUUUUCUGCAAUCCCUCCACCCCUUGUAGUAUUGGGGAUUGAACCUGGGACAGUCUACCACUGAGCUACAUCCUCAGCCUUCUUUAUUUUUUAUUUUGAGAUAGGGUCUUGGUAAAUUGUCCAAUUGCAAACCUCAACUAGAGAUUUGCAAUUCAGGAAGUCUGGAUAGAGAAAUUUUGCAAACUACAGGAGUAAAUUUCAGUAUUUUCAAUAUGAGAUGUUUAUUAGAUGUUCAAGUGGAGGUCUCAGGGGCUGGGGAUAUAGCUCAGUUGGUAGAGUGCUUGCCUUACAUGCACAAGGCCCUGGGUUAGAUCCCCAGCACGAAAAACAAAACAAUCGACUGGAGGUCUUAUAUGGGUAUAUGGGUCUUGAUUUCUGAAGUAAGUUUUGGAUCUAUGUGUUUUCAUAUACGUUACAUAUGAAAUAUAUUACAUGUGUACCUAUGCCAUAAAUAUACACACAAGUCACACUUCUCUUAACAAUAGGGAUGUGUUGCUAGAUAUUUCUUCCUUGCAAGAACAUCAUAGAGUGUACUUACACAAACUAAGAUAGCUUCAGGCAGUAUAACCCUAUGGGACCACUGUCAUAAUGCUGUCACUGACCCUCCCAUCAUGAUGCAGUACAUGACUGUAUAUAUUUGUAAAAGUGUGUGUGUUAGAGAGUUGCCGAUUUCUUUUUUUUUGGUUGUAGAUGGACACAGUGCCCUUAUUUUAUUCAUGUAUUUUUAUGUGGUUCUGAGGAUUGAAUGUGCAAGACAAGGGCUCCACCACUGAGCUACAACCCUAGCCAAGAUGCCAACUUUUAAGCAAGCUUGAAACCUAGAAAUUGAUUAGAUCACUGAUCUAGGCAAAGAAGGAAAGAAUAUCAAGGAAGCUCUGGCACACUUCACACUAAGAGGUUUGGAGAAGACAGGUAUUUUCAAAGCCUACUGAGGAGAAACCAGUUAGGAGGAGAACCCAUGGUAUCCACAGAUUCAGUUGAAGAAUACAAGGAGGAACAAAUGUCCAGUUAUGGAGUGCUGCAGACAUUAAGGUGCCUGAGAAUAGAGAGUUGUAUUUAGCAAUGAGGAGGUCAUUGGUGAUCUUGACAACAGCUUUCGGUGGGGCAAAAAGUUAAUUGGAAUGAAUUGAAGAAAGACUGUCAGUGAAUCUGACCUCUGGAAAAGUCUAGCAGUAAGGCCUGGAGAGGAAGAUGCCAUAACUAUCAUACUGGGAAGUAGCUUCAGUUUCAGAAUGUUCCUGCAGUAAGCCAGGCAUCAUGGUGCACACCUGUAGUCCCAGCUACUCUUGAGACUGAGGCAGGAGGACCAGGUAAACCCAGGAGUUCAGAGCCUGCCUGGGCAACAUAAUAAGACACUGUCUCAAAAAAAAAAAAAAGUGCCUGCCUCAGUACAAGAGCUAGGCUGGAAAGCUGGAGGAGUUGUUGCUCUCAGUAUAUGGACUCCUAGCUCCACAAUGACAUGAAUAAUACACGUUUUCUUUGAAAAACAAUAGUACUUCCUAUAAAACCUGCAAGUUCUGAACUUAGAAUUUGGUCAAAUGGGGCUGGGGAUGUGGCUCAAGCCGUAGCGCGCUUGCCUGGCAUGCGUGCGGCCCGGGUUCGAUCCUCAGCACCACAUACAAACAAAGAUGUUGUGUCUGCCGAAAACUAAAAAAAAAUAUAUAUUAUAUAUAUAUAUAUAUAUAUAUAUAUAUUCUCUAAAAAAAAUCAGUGAAAGUAAUAAAAAUAUUUAAAAAAAAAAUAAUUUGGUCAAAGAUUUUUCUGGAAUUUUGUAACAGUCAGCACUCACCAGCAGUCUGAGAUGAUUUAGCCAGCCAGAGCUAUGCUUAGAGAUGCCACA
rnacentral:lncRNA from 1 species